CUCCUACGGGAGGCAGCAGUGGGGAAUAUUGGACAAUGGGCGCAAGCCUGAUCCAGCCAUGCCGCGUGGGUGAAGAAGGCCUUCGGGUUGUAAAGCCCUUUUGUCCGGAAAGAAAAGUUCUGGGUUAAUAACCCAGGAUCAUGACGGUACCGGAAGAAUAAGCACCGGCUAACUUCGUGCCAGCAGCCGCGGUAAUACGAAGGGUGCAAGCGUUACUCGGAAUUACUGGGCGUAAAGCGUGCGUAGGUGGUGGUUUAAGUCAGAUGUGAAAGCCCUGGGCUCAACCUGGGAACUGCAUUUGAUACUGGAUCACUAGAGUGCGGUAGAGGAUAGUGGAAUUCCCGGUGUAGCAGUGAAAUGCGUAGAGAUCGGGAGGAACACCAGUGGCGAAGGCGACUAUCUGGACCAGCACUGACACUGAGGCACGAAAGCGUGGGGAGCAAACAGGAUUAGAUACCCUGGUAGUCCACGCCCUAAACGAUGCGAACUGGAUGUUGGGAGCAACUUGGCUCUCAGUAUCGAAGCUAACGCGUUAA
rnacentral:rRNA from 1 species